UACGAAGGGGGCGAGCGUUGCUCGGAAUUACUGGGCGUAAAGGGCGCGCAGGCGGUCCUUCAAGUCAGAUGUGAAAGCCCCGGGCUCAACCUGGGAACAGCAUUUGAGACUGGAGGACUUGAGGACGGGAGAGGAGAGUGGAAUUCCCAGUGUAGAGGUGAAAUUCGUAGAUAUUCGGAAGAACACCAGUGGCGAAGGCGACUCGCUGGACAGGUAUUGACGCUGAGGUGCGAAAGCGUGGGGAGCAAACAGG
rnacentral:rRNA from 1 species